GACGAACGCUGGCGGCGUGCCUAACACAUGCAAGUCGAACGGGGCAAUUUCUUCGGAGAUUGCUUAGUGGCGAACGGGUGAGUAACGCGUGAGCAAUCUGUCCUACACAGGGGGAUAACACUUGGAAACAGGUGCUAAUACCGCAUAAGACCACGCUAUCGCAUGGUAGAGGGGUAAAAGAUUUAUCGGUGUAGGGUGAGCUCGCGUCUGAUUAGUUAGUUGGUGGGGUAACGGCCUACCAAGACUACGAUCAGUAGCCGGACUGAGAGGUUGAACGGCCACAUUGGGACUGAGAUACGGCCCAGACUCCUACGGGAGGCAGCAGUCGGGAAUAUUGCGCAAUGGAGGAAACUCUGACGCAGUGACGCCGCGUAUAGGAAGAAGGUUUUCGGAUUGUAAACUAUUGUCGUUAGGGAAGAAAAAAGACAGUACCUAAGGAGGAAGCUCCGGCUAACUACGUG
rnacentral:rRNA from 1 species